GAACCAGCCAAGUAGCGUGCAGGAUGACGGCCCUAUGGGUUGUAAACUGCUUUUAUACGGGGAUAAAGUGAGCCACGUGUGGUUUAUUGCAGGUACCGUUUGAAUAAGGACCGGCUAAUUCCGUGCCAGCAGCCGCGGUAAU
rnacentral:rRNA from 1 species